UCUCCGUAGGUGAACCUGCGGAGGGAUCAUUACAAGUGACCCCGGUCUUACCACCGGGAUGUUCAUAACCCUUUGUUGUCCGACUCUGUUGCCUCCAGGGCGACCCUGCCUUCGGGCGGGGGCUCCGGGUGGACACUUCAAACUCUUGCGUAACUUUGCAGUCUGAGUAAACUUAAUUAAUAAAUUAAAACUUUUAACAACGGAUCUCUUGGUUCUG
rnacentral:misc_RNA from 1 species